rnacentral:lncRNA from 1 species
AGACAAAAGCCAAGGAUAAUCAAUAAACCUCUUAAUAAGAUCGAUAUUAAGUGCACAAGGGUGAGUUGUAUUGUAGGGACACUUGCUUAAUCAAUUUUCAUGCCGACUAAUCAAUCAUCUUCGCAUUCGACAUGCCGAUAACCAUGACACCAAGUCUUCUAAAAAUUGUGGAAGAUAGCUUGCAGCUGUGCGUUCAUAUUGGUAGUAAAAUC